GGGUAUAAAGUGCGCGUAGGCGGUUGUGUAAGUUGGAUGUGAAAUCCCCGGGCUUAACCUGGGCACUGCAUUCAAAACUGCACGGCUAGAGUAUGGGAGAGGAAGGUAGAAUUCCAGGUGUAGCGGUGAAAUGCGUAGAGAUCUGGAGGAAUACCGAUGGCGAAGGCAGCCUUCUGGCCUAAUACUGACGCUGAGGUGCGAAAGCAUGGGGAGCAAACAGGAUUAGAUACCCUGGUAGUCCAUGCCGUAAACGAUGUCGACUAGGUGUUGGGGAACUUGAUUCCUUAGUGCCGCAGCUAACGCAUUAAGUCGACCGCCUGGGGAGUACGACCGCAAGGUUAAAACU
rnacentral:rRNA from 1 species